GACGUAGGGGGCCAGCGUUGUUCGGAAUUACUGGGUGUAAAGGGUUCGUAGGCGGUGCGGCAAGUUGGGAGUGAAAUCUCUGGGCUUAACCCAGAGGCUGCUUCCAAAACUGCUGUGCUUGAGUGUGGGAGAGGCGCGUGGGAAUUGCAGGUGUAGCGGUGAAAUGCGUAGAUAUCUGCAGGAACACCCGUGGCGAAAGCGGCGCGCUGGACCACUACUGACGCUGAGGAACGAAAGCUAGGGGAGCAAACAGG
rnacentral:rRNA from 1 species